rnacentral:rRNA from 1 species
GACAGAGGUGCCGAGCGUUAGGCGGAAUCACUGGGCUUAAAGCGUGUGUAGGCGGACCGUUAAGUGUCUUGUGAAAUCCCCCGGCUCAACCGGGGAACGGCUGGGCAUACUGGCGGUCUUGAGAGACCUAGGGGCGAGCGGAACAGGCGGUGGAGCGGUGAAAUGCGUAGAUAUCGCCUGGAACGCCGACGGUGAAAACAGCUCGCUGGGGGUCUUCUGACGCUGAGACACGAAAGCCAGGGGAGCGAACGGG